AGUGAACGCUGGCGGCGUGCUUAACACAUGCAAGUCGAACGCGAAAGUGUAGCAAUACAUGAGUAGAGUGGCGAACGGGUGAGUAAGAUGUGGGUAAUCUAGCUUUCAGAGGGGGAUAACCCGGGGAAACCUGGGCUAAAACCGCGUAACAUAUUGGGGUUUAAGGACCCUAAUAUCAAAACAUGGCCUCUAUUUAUAAGCUAUGGCUGAGAGAUGAGCCCACAUCCUACACGCUUGUUGGUGGGGUAACGGCCCACCAAGGCGACGACGGGUAGCCGGCCUGAGAGGGUGUCCGGCCACACUGGAACUGAGACACGGUCCAGACUCCUACGGGAGGCAGCAGUGGGGAAUUUUUCGCAAUGGGCGCAAGCCUGACGAAGCAACGCCGCGUAGA
rnacentral:rRNA from 1 species